AGUGAACGCUGGCGGUAGGCCUAACACAUGCAAGUCGAACGGCAGCACAGUAAUAGCUUGCUCUUACGGGUGGCGAGUGGCGGACGGGUGAGGAAUACAUCGUAAUCUACUUUUUCGUGGGGGAUAACGUAGGGAAACUUACGCUAAUACCGCAUACGACCUACGGGUGAAAGCAGGGGAUCUUCUGACCUUGCGCGAUUGAAUGAGCCGAUGUCGGAUUAGCUAGUUGGCGGGGUAAAGGCCCACCAAGGCGACGAUCCGUAGCUGGUCUGAGAGGAUGAUAAGCCAAACUGGAACUGAGACACGGUCCAGACUCCUACGGGAGGCAGCAGUGGGGAAUAUUGGACAAUGGGCGCAAGCCUGAUCCAGCCAUACCGCGUGGGUGAAGAAGGCCUUCGGGUUGUAAAGCCCUUUUGUUGGGAAAGAAAAGCAGCAGGUUAAUACCCCGCUGUUCUGACGGUACCCAAAGAAUAAGCACCGGCUAACUUCGUG
rnacentral:rRNA from 1 species